CAUUGGGAUCCAAGUCCCCUUGAGACCACCAUCAUGGGAGGGGAAUGAUGCAUUCGCUGAGUUCGGAGAGAGACACAGGCACUGCGAUGCCAGUGAGUGCCUUUGUCCAGGAGGCAGGCAGGAGGCAGAGCAGGAGGGGCCCUGGCAAUUGCUCCUGUGCUCCUCCUGUGCUGCCGAGGGCACCCACAGACACUGCUCUGGCCUGAGGGACAGCAUAACCAGAUGGGAAUGUGAUGGCUGUGCUGGUCUGGGCACAUGUAAGUCGCAAAGCACCCUGGUGACCCUGGGCCUGGCAGUG